rnacentral:lncRNA from 1 species
GCUCUGUUUUCUUCAUUUGGCUAAGAAAAAAUGGGUUUCCCCAGUCUGGCUUGAACCAGCUCUGCAAUAUGAACACUGCUCUGGUUACAGCCUUGUCACUGCUAAGUACAGUAGAAGGACUGCUCACUCUUCUUACAGGUUUUGCUCUUAUUUGCAUGUUUGCAUCUUACACAAUGGAACAAGCACUCAAUACAACUAUGUAGGAAGUAUUUGGAUGAAACCCCAGGCAACAUAACUGAAAAUGUCAGAUGAAUGCAUCAGCGUUUCACAGCUAUCUUCUUCUAUGAAGGUAUCUUCAUGUUUCAUUUAAACGACACUUUUGUCAUUUAAAACACUGGUAAUAUUCGGAGCCCAAACUCUGUUUUGGAUGGAUAACGUUAUGAACAUUCAGGAAAAAGUCUUACUUAAGAGAACCACAGAUUGGUAUACAAAAAUUCAGUGACUUGGUACAGACAUAACUAUGUAAACAUCUAUAUUACUGUAAAUCACACCAUACUUUUCAGUGUAAUAUGUU